UCGAACGAGUUCUCGUUGAUGAUCGGCGCUUGCACCGAGAUUCAACAUGGAACGAGUGGCGGACGGGUGAGUAACACGUGGGUAACCUGCCCUUAAGUGGGGGAUAACAUUUGGAAACAGAUGCUAAUACCGCAUAGAUCCAAGAACCGCAUGGUUCUUGGCUGAAAGAUGGCGUAAGCUAUCGCUUUUGGAUGGACCCGCGGCGUAUUAGCUAGUUGGUGAGGUAAUGGCUCACCAAGGCGAUGAUACGUAGCCGAACUGAGAGGUUGAUCGGCCACAUUGGGACUGAGACACGGCCCAAACUCCUACGGGAGGCAGCAGUAGGGAAUCUUCCACAAUGGACGCAAGUCUGAUGGAGCAACGCCGCGUGAGUGAAGAAGGCUUUCGGGUCGUAAAACUCUGUUGUUGGAGAAGAAUGGUCGGCAGAGUAACUGUUGUCGGCGUGACGGUAUCCAACCAGAAAGCCACGGCUAACUACGUGCCAGCAGCCGCGGUAAUACGUAGGUGGCAAGCGUUAUCCGGAUUUAUUGGGCGUAAAGCGAGCGCAGGCGGUUUUUUAAGUCUGAUGUGAAAGCCCUCGGCUUAACCGAGGAAGCGCAUCGGAAACUGGGAAACUUGAGUGCAGAAGAGGACAGUGGAACUCCAUGUGUAGCGGUGAAAUGCGUAGAUAUAUGGAAGAACACCAGUGGCGAAGGCGGCUGUCUGGUCUGUAACUGACGCUGAGGCUCGAAAGCAUGGGUAGCGAACAGGAUUAGAUACCCUGGUAGUCCAUGCCGUAAACGAUGAAUGCUA
rnacentral:rRNA from 1 species